UCUGAAUCUAAGAAAGCGAUCUUGGAUUCUUUUUUGAAAAUGGUAUUCUCAUGGGAGCAGUUAUAAAAAUUAUAGAGUUCAAAAAAUUGGCAAAUUGGAAGGAAGAAGAAAUGUUUCGUCCAAAUAUGUUUUUCCUCCUCUUGCUUCCUCCUAUUAUAUUUGAGUCAGGAUAUUCAUUACACAAGGGUAACUUCUUUCAAAAUAUUGGUUCCAUCACUCUGUUUGCUGUCUUCGGUACGGCAAUUUCCGCUUUUGUAGUAGGUGGAGGAAUUUAUUUUCUCGGUCAGGCUGAUGUAAUCUCUAAACUCAACAUGACAGACAGCUUUGCGUUUGGCUCCCUGAUUUCUGCUGUCGACCCGGUGGCCACUAUUGCUAUUUUCAACGCGCUUCACGUGGACCCGGUGCUCAACAUGCUGGUUUUUGGAGAGAGUAUUCUCAACGACGCAGUCUCCAUUGUCCUGACCAAGUGAGUGUCCUUUCUUCAAGGCCGGCACUUAAAGGUCCUGGUAUCAGAGGGACAGAGGUUCCUGGGCGGCUGCAGGGACAGCUGCUUGUCCUCUGGGCAGCUGGGUCACGAGCUUCUCCGUCUUCUGUCCUGACAAGCCCUGAUACACCCCAGCGAUGCUGUCAAGGCCUGGGCUGAUCAGAGGCAAGCCCGCCCUUUAGGACGACCUACCUUUCAGCAGUGGUUUCAAGUCCUGCUUCUUGUCCAUGUCCCUGGGGAUGCUUAUUAACCAGAGCAGUCCCAGGCCCCACCCUCUUAGCUUCUGAUUCAUGAGGUUCUUCAUUAGCUCCUCAAAUGAGGAGGGAGCAGCUGAUUGAGGGAUGGGUAUGUGGACAGCUUCGGUGCAGACGAAAGCAUUAGACAGAGGCCCUGCUCUCCCACAGAGGGGCUCUUGCCCAGCACCUUCCUUUCCACAGCUGUAGAAUAAGCCGGCGAUACUAACGGGUCCCAGCUGGGUAUGAUAUUGUGUGAAAGCUGCUUUGGACACUGUAAAUCUCUUUCAAAUGCUCAUCGGUAUCACUGCCCUUGUUGAUAGGAUCUGAGAAAUGAUAGAUGAAUCCUAAAAUGUCAAGAAGCCUUGAGAAAAAGAAAUGAAUCUAAGAUCAUCUCAAAUGCAUCUAUCUAAUGCAGGCUGUUUCCUUGAACUCUGUCUUUUGUGGUGCUUAUUAGCAUGUAUGGGCAGGAGAUCCAAACAGUUUUAGCAAAACCAGAGAAGGCACAGACAGUCAAAGCAGUGGGAGGAAAGCGCUCUGGACAGUGUUUCAAGAAUGAGCUAAGAGAAUCUUAGGAGCCGGCCUGUGUUCUGCUGAAGAAUAGACUUUCCAGGGCGCCUGGGUGGCUCAGUUAGUUGAGCGACUGCC